AACUCUUCUAAACAUCCAUACAAAGUAGUUCAAGCUUUGGUUCCAAUCUUUAGACCUUAAACUCAUAUAGAAAACCUUGCUGAAAGAUCACAUAAGUUGCUGGGAAGCUGUAGGAGUAGUUAACCAAGUGGAUUAAGGAAUUUCGUGGCUUUAAGCAUCCUUAGUUAAGAGUCAAACAUUGUUGCAGGUUUGGUGUUGUGAGCUCAGGAUUCUGAAGUGAAGCAAGAUAAAGAUGUCGUCGUAGCUUAUGGAUUGAGUUUGUAUUUUAGAUAGUCAAUUAAGGAAUAGUUUCUGAUAUAUUUCGUUGUAUACAAUAUUUGGGAAUAUUAGUCGAG